rnacentral:rRNA from 1 species
UACGGAGGGUGCAAGCGUUGCUCGGAAUUAUUGGGCGUAAAGGGUAGGUAGGUGGUCUCAUUUGUCUGGGGUGAAAGCCUUGAGCUUAACUCAAGAAGUGCCCCAGAAACGGUGAGACUAGAGUCCUGGAGAGGGUCGUGGAAUUCCCGGUGUAGCGGUGAAAUGCGUAGAGAUCGGGAGGAACACCAGAGGCGAAGGCGGCGACCUGGACAGGAACUGACGCUGAGGAGCGAAAGCGUGGGGAGCGAACAGG